UAGGGAAUCUUCGGCAAUGGACGAAAGUCUGACCGAGCAACGCCGCGUGAGUGCAGAAGGCUUUCGGAUCGUAAAACUCUGUUGUUAGAGAAGAACAAGGACGUUAGUAACUGAACGUCCCCUGACGGUAUCUAACCAGAAAGCCACGGCUAACUACGUGCCAGCAGCCGCGGUAAUACGUAGGUGGCAAGCGUUGUCCGGAUUUAUUGGGCGUAAAGCGAGCGCAGGCGGUUUCUUAAGUCUGAUGUGAAAGCCCCCGGCUCAACCGGGGAGGGUCAGUGGAAACUGGGAGACUUGAGUGCAGAAGAGGGGAGUGGAAUUCCAUGUGUAGCGGUGAAAUGCGUAGAUAUAUGGAGGAACACCAGUGGCGAAGGCGGCUCUCUGGUCUGUAACUGACGCUGAGGCUCGAAAGCGUGGGGAGCAAACAGG
rnacentral:rRNA from 1 species